rnacentral:lncRNA from 1 species
AUCCAGGGCUCAGCUGAGACUGGGGGCCUCACCACAGCCCCACUCAGAUGCCUGGUGGUUGGAUGGGCUGCCAGCUGAGGCACCUCCGUUCUCCAACUCAUGGCCUUUCCAGCAGGACAGCCUGGACUUCUCCAUAUGAGAAUUGGGUGUCAAGAAGAUUUUAAUUCUUCAUGACUAGAUUCCACCCAAAGAUGUUUCUUUUGAAGCUUGGAGAAGGAGAAUGAAUAAAAAAGAAGAAUCCUUCUGGUAAUGUUAGGACUUUUGUGAAAUUUGAAAUGGCACAGUGUCCAAAACAACUUCUGAUUUCAUUUUGAGUUCAAUCACUUCAAAGAGAAGUUCAUUUAUAAAACAUCAUAUCUC